AAUCAACGCUGGCGGCGUGCCUCAGACAUGCAAGUCGAACGAUUAAGACUUCCUUCGGGAAGAGUAUAAAGUGGCGCACGGGUGAGUAACACGUAAGUAAUCUACCUUCGAGUGGGGAAUAACAUCGGGAAACCGAUGCUAAUACCGCAUAAUGCAGCGGCAUCGCAAGAUGACAGUUGUUAAAGGAGCAAUUCGCUUGAAGAGGAGCUUGCGGCAGAUUAGCUAGUUGGUAAGAUAAUGGCUUACCAAGGCUACGAUCUGUAUCCGGUCUAAGAGGACGGUCGGACACACGGAGACUGGGACACGGCCCAGACUCCUACGGGAGGCAGCAGUGGGGAAUAUUGGACAAUGGGCGAAAGCCUGAUCCAGCAAUGCCGCGUGAGUGAUGAAGGCCUUAGGGUUGUAAAGCUCUUUUACCCGGGAUGAUAAUGACAGUACCGGGAGAAUAAGCCCCGGCUAACUCCGUGCCAGCAGCCGCCGUAAAAC
rnacentral:rRNA from 1 species